GACGAACGCUGGCGGCGUGCUUAACACAUGCAAGUCGAACGAUGAAGCCGGAGCUUGCUCUGGUGAAUUAGUGGCGAACGGGUGAGUAACACGUGAGUAACCUGCCCUUGACUCUGGGAUAACUGCGGGAAACUGUAGCUAAUACCGGAUACGACCCUCGGAGGCAUCUCCUGGGGGUGGAAAGAAUUUCGGUCAAGGAUGGACUCGCGGCCUAUCAGCUAGUUGGUGAGGUAAAGGCUCACCAAGGCGACGACGGGUAGCCGGCCUGGGAGGGGGACCGGCCACACUGUGACUGAGACACGGCCCAGACUCCUACGGGAGGCAGCAGUGGGGAAUAGUGCACAAUGGGCGCAAGCCUGAUGCAGCAACGCCGCGUGAGGGAUGACGGCCUUCGGGUUGUAAACCUCUUUUAGCAGGGAAGAAGCGAAAGUGACGGUACCUGCAGAAAAAGCACCGGCUAACUACGUGCCAGCAGCCGCCGUAA
rnacentral:rRNA from 1 species